rnacentral:rRNA from 1 species
UACGGAGGGUGCGAGCGUUGUCCGGAAUCACUGGGCGUAAAGGGCUCGUAGGCGGCCAACUAAGUCGGAUGUGAAAUCCCCAGGCUCAACUUGGGAACUGCAUCCGAUACUGGAUGGCUUGAAUUCGGGAGAGGGAUGCAGAAUUCCAGGUGUAGCGGUGAAAUGCGUAGAUAUCUGGAGGAAUACCGGUGGCGAAGGCGGCAUCCUGGACCGACAUUGACGCUGAGGAGCGAAAAGCUAGGGGAGCAAACGGG